UACGUAGGGGGCGAGCGUUGUCCGGAAUCAUUGGGCGUAAAGCGCGUGUAGGCGGCCCGGUAAGUCCGCUGUGAAAGUCCAGGGCUCAACCCUGGGAUGCCGGUGGAUACUGUCGGGCUCGAGUCCGGAAGAGGCGAAUGGAAUUCCUGGUGUAGCGGUGAAAUGCGCAGAUAUCAGGUGGAACACCGAUGGCGAAGGCAGUGGUCUGGGCCGAUACUGACGCUGAGGAGCGAAAGCGUGGGGAGCGAACAGG
rnacentral:rRNA from 1 species